GGAUGUGAGAGCGAUCUGGCUGCUACAUUUGUCACCCCAUUGACCACCAGGGUUGAUUCAGCUGAUCUGGCUGGCUCUCACUGCUCCAUGUGCGACCCUCCCGAAGCUGUGUGCUCUAUCAAAGAGGACGACCUUCCCCGAUAGAGGAGAAGACUGUUCUUGGGUCAAGCGAGUACCUGCGCUCCCCUGCUAGAACCUCCAAACAAGAUCUCAAAAGUAGAUGUCCUUUAGCAAAGAGAAAGUAUGAAUGUAGCCCGUUAUGUUCUGGAGAUGAUAUUAUACUCC
rnacentral:snRNA from 1 species